GGCUGUCGCUGANCCCCCUUUUUGGGGUCGUGCACGCCUUGAGUCUCCUCUCAAACAUCCAUCACACAUCCCCCUUUGUGCAUCACCGCGUGGGCUCCUUUGGGUCGGUUCGAUCCAAGUGGGGCUUGCGCUUUUUACACAAACACCCUUCAAAUGCAGUGUAGAAUGUCCUUUUGCGAUCGUAUGCAAUCAAUACAACUUUCAACAACGGAUCUCUUGGCUCUCGCAUCGAUGAAGAACGCAGCGAAAUGCGAUACGUAAUGUGAAUUGCAGAAUUCAGUGAAUCAUCGAAUCUUUGAACGCACCUUGCGCCCCUUGGCAUUCCGAGGGGCACACCCGUUUGAGUGUCGUGAAUUCCUCAACCUUCUGCUAUUUCUUGAUAGCAGAAGGCUUGGACUUUGGAGGUUCUUGCUGGCCUCUCCUUCUAGAAGCCAGCUCCUCUUAAAUGGAUUAGCAGGGUCUGCCUUUGGUCGAUCCUCGACGUGAUAAACCAUUUCUACGUCUUGGACUUGGCUCUUUUGAGACCUGCUUCUAAUCGUCCGAGUCGCCCUUUCUUAAUGGGGUGCACUUUUGGACCCACGAACCAUUUGACCUCAAAUCGGGUGAGACUACCCGCUGAACUUAAGCAUAUCA
rnacentral:rRNA from 1 species